UACGGAGGGUGCAAGCGUUGUCCGGAAUCAUUGGGCGUAAAGCGCACGUAGGCGGUCUGUUAUGUCGGAUGUGAAAGCCCUUGGCUUAACUGAGGAAGUGCAUCCGAAACUGGCAGGCUAGAGUACUAAAGAGGGUCGCGGAAUUCCCGGUGUAGAGGUGAAAUUCGUAGAUAUCGGGAGGAACACCGGUGGCGAAGGCGGCGACCUGGGUAGAUACUGACGCUGAGGUGCGAAAGCGUGGGGAGCAAACAGG
rnacentral:rRNA from 1 species